AGCAGCCGCGGUAAUUCCAGCUCCAAUAGCGUAUAUUAAAGUUGUUGCAGUUAAAAAGCUCGUAGUUGAAUUUCGGGGUUAGUAGGUUGGUCAUGCCUCUGGUAUGUACUGGUCUCACUGAUUCCUCCUUCCUGAUGAACCUUAAUGCCAUUAAUUUGGUGUUUUGGGGAAUUUGGACUGUUACUUUGAAAAAAUUAGAGUGUUUAAAGCAAGCUAACGCUUGAAUACAUUAGCAUGGAAUAAUGAAAUAGGACGUUCGAUCCUAUUUUGUUGGUUUCUAGGAUUGACGUAAUGAUUAAUAGGGAUAGUUGGGGGCAUUAGUAUUCAAUUGUCAGAGGUGAAAUUCUUGGAUUUAUUGAAGACUAACUACUGCGAAAGCAUUCGCCAAGGAUGUUUUCAUUAAUCAAGAACGAAAGUUAGGGGAUCGAAGACGAUCAGAUACCGUCGUAGUCUUAACCAUAAACUAUGCCGACUA
rnacentral:rRNA from 1 species